ACGGUGCCCGGGGUGCUGCGCGACGCGGCGCGGAGACACGCACUUUCGCCCCCGAAAGCAGUGUCUGCACCCUGCCGGGCAAACAGCUCUCUGGAAAAGCCCUGCCUGCUAGUAAAAUGGACCAAAUCGACUUGUGAUGAGACUCGGCUUUCUAGAUGACACGUCAGGGGAUGAGUGUAAGCGGGAGUUUCUUCUUCAAUUCAACAUCCACUGCUUAUUUGUACGGUUCAGUAACGGGCAUCAUAUAAUCCCAAUCCCUUGCAUGCGUGGGAUAAGUCAGAAACAGCCUAACAAACCUUGAUGCGUGCUGUUUGGCAGAAACAUGUCACUUUGUCGAACUGCUUUCUUAAGUCAGAAGAAUAAACACCACGCUCAGCAGCAUACAUCCAUACCAAUCCAUCUACCUGUUUACAGACGCUGUGUAUAUAAAUGUCUUUACGUGAAGCAUCGCUCAUUGUACCUGUGCUUUGAACCAAACGGAGAAGGACGACUGGAACUCACGAAUCCAGGAGUAUAAAUCAAAAGGGCUCUGACAAGUUGGAGAAAUGGUCAGAAACAAGCAGAAUGAGGUCUUCUGAGUGCAGGGUCACACAUCAGAGAAGACAAAAAAAACAAUGAACUCCA